rnacentral:lncRNA from 1 species
GGAAUCCCUACAUCAACAUUACCUGUUCUGUGUCAAAAAAGACAAUUUUUUUGAAACUCUAUUCAAUAGGCUUUUUUUCUACCACAAAAGAAAUGGUUGCAAGAACUUGUGAGAAUGACCUGGAACUGAUCUCACUACUGAAAUAUUACAGUAAUUAGAAAGGAUAAAAUUGACCAAGUAUCUUAGUCUCUGUCUGGAGACACUGUCUGGAAUGAAAAAGUUGAGUAAGUAUAAUUCAAUGGGGGAAAAAAAAUCUCACAACCCAACAGCUGAUAGUAUCCAGUCAUGCCUUGUCUAAGGCAGAGAUGACCAGGCUCAGUGACUGAAACACCCUAUCCACUGAGACAGGGGCACUCUGUAAUAGAGAUAAGUUGCAUCAGAUUAUCACAGCCUGAGGCCAAUAAAUGUUUCUGCAUUCUUUAAGUUUUGUAUUUAAGUAUUAUAUAUAGACAGAAAAGUACAUACAUCAAAAGUACAAAAGUACAACUCAAUGAAUUUUACAGUUGAACAAAUCCAUGUAAGUAGUACCUAGAUCAAGAAGCAGAACAUUGCUACCCAAAAUUCAUUCUCACACUCCCUCCAAUCUAGCCACUGGCCUCUCCAAAUAACCACUAUCUUAUCUUCUAACAGAGAUGAGGGCUUUGAAUAUUUCUCUACUUUAUGUAAAUAUAAUCAUACAGCAUGUUCUAUUUUGUGUCUGG